GAGCCAUUAGCUCAGUUGGUAGAGCAUCUGACUUUUAAUCAGAGGGUCGGCGGUUCGAACCCGUCAUUCUCCACCA
rnacentral:tRNA from 1 species